GACGAACGCUGGCGGCGUGCUUAACACAUGCAAGUCGAACGGACAGGCCCUGCUUUUGUGGGGUGCUCGAGUGGCGAACGGGUGAGUAACACGUGAGUAACCUGCCCUUGACUUUGGGAUAACUUCAGGAAACUGGGGCUAAUACCGGAUAGGAGAUACUGAUGCAUGGUGGGGGUUGGAAAGUUUCGGCGGUUGGGGAUGGACUCGCGGCUUAUCAGCUUGUUGGUGGGGUAGUGGAUUACCAAGGCUUUGACGGGUAGCCGGCCUGAGAGGGUGAACGGCCACAUUGGGACUGAGGUACGGCCCAGACUCCUACGUGAGGCAGCAGUGGGGAAUAUUGCACAAUGGGCGGAAGCCUGAUGCAGCAACGCCGCGUGCGGGAUGACGGCCUUCGGGUUGUAAACCGCUUUCGCCUGUGACGAAGCGUGAGUGACGGUAAUGGGUAAAGAAGCACCGGCUAACUACGUG
rnacentral:rRNA from 1 species